CUGCUGGCUGCCGGGCUCCUGGAGCACACGGAAGGCAGAGACACAAGCAUCUGCGACGUGCGGUCUGUCUACAGUGUGGGUGAGCUAGUGGUGGGAGAACUGGAGCAGAGGGAAAGCACUCUCGGCACACGUUCUGAGCGGUGGUGCUGUUGCUGCUCUGGCCGUGUCUUUCCUGUCCUAGAGAGAGGGAGGACUCCCCAAGGUCAGGGGAAAGGGGAGCGGAGUAGAGGAAAGGACCAGUGCGGGGCUGAAGAUGUAGGUUCCUGUCCCAGCGCUGCGGCUUCUCCUCUGUGAAGGGCGUUCUGCUCCUCAGAGGCUCUCUGCACGCAAACUCUGAGCUCAGCGCGUGGUGUGGGGUGCGGCUAGGGCUCACUGAGCCCUAGCCGUCGCCACCGAUUUCAUUUACUAUUGUUAACUGCGUCAUUUGGGCGAGCCACUUUCCCUCUCUUCCCGGAUCUCUGUUUUCACUUUCAUGGGCCUUGGUGUAGAUGGGCUUGUUGCCCGCUUCUUCGCCAUCUGAUUCCGUUCUCUCCUGAGGUCACCUUGCCCGUGGCUCCUUCUGGAGGGACGCAGGAUAAGACGGCAGGUGGUUUCAGCACCAGCGAGGGAGGACAGCGCCCGGAGCUGUCCAUGCGCUGAAUUCACAGAUGGAUAUAGCUGUGUCGUCUGAGAUUCCUCCAAACUGGAAACACCCAGAAGUCCAUCGACAGCCCAUCCUGCAUGGACAUAUUAUGGAAAGUCCAACGGCAGGCAGAGACUGGGCAGUGGAAAUGGGAUCAUCUCACGGAUACGGGAGGCUGUUUUGCUGUCCCUUCCCCAGGGCAUAGGAAUCAAGAAAUCAUUGUGCACCCAGUUAAUCACCGUCCUGCAAACAAAGAGUGACCUCCCAGUCAGCUGACGCCCAGGCGUGGGUCCCCUGCUCCCGCCUUUACUCUGCACACAGCUCUCAGGGAUCCCCGAAGGUGGCACGUGCACCGGCCCUCCUCCAUGUCCCUUGUUCCUUCUCUCCGCUGAAGCCCCCGCCUCACCCUGCUUCCAUUUGCUGGUUCUCCAAUGGACCAGAACAGCGACCCCCCGCGGUCUCCUGGGGACUGUGUCAGCAGCGCGGAGCACGCGGGGACCAGGCCUCCAGACCUCAGAGGCCUAGGAGUCUGUGACAGGCAGGUGAGGUGCUAGCUGCUGGGUGACAGCUCAGUCAGGUAGGAACCUGGGACGGCCGGCUCUGAGGUUAAGAAUGUGGGGGGGGCCUGGGCAGGCUGACAGCCGGGUCACCCCUACCCCUAAACGGUGACCGCGCCCUCUAGCGGGCAAGCCCUCUGUUCGAGGUCACAGGGACCGCCACCAGUUCUGGACCUGCCCAGCCCAAGUGGCUAAAAGCGGAAAAGCGUUGGUGCGUGAAGGCGGAACUGGUGGGCUGGGCAGCGCUGUGAGAGCCGCACAGACGGGUGCUGACUUCUGAUUUCUCACGGAGUUCAUCCUGCUGCGGCUGGGGUGCGCGCUGGCCCGUGACCCCACCAGAGGGGCUGCAGGCCGUGGGCGUGGCGGUCAGGCCUAUGCCACCCUGGAGGCGAGCAUGUGUCCUCGGACUAGCCCGGAUCCUGUGCCCAGAGCGUGCCAGUGGUGCCCUCGGGGCGGGCGUGAGGCCCGGGGAGGCCUGGGGCCUGGAUUUGCGUUCGCAUCCUGCAGGUGCGACGGAUUAAGCACCUUUAACGACGCCCUUCCUACCCCAAGGGCCUAAAUGGAAUCCAGGUUCUGCUUCCGGUUCCGUCUGGGUUCCACUUCCGGUUCUGUCUGGCGUCACCGAGCCGAAGGCGUGCCCAGCCUUUCGCGUCUUCCCGGCAGUCUGUAGUCCCUCCGCCGGCGCCGCCACCCCCGUCUGCACCCCGAGCCUCGGUGGGAGGUGCGGGACCCACGCGGCCUCUUCUCGGCCCCCCCCCACCGCCAGCAGUGGCAGGUGUGCCCCGUAAGUGUCGCCCAGCUGGCACCGCGGCCUCUGAGCUCUCAGGCCCCCUCCGAGGGCCUCGUCCCUGCCUCGCCCCUGCCUCGCCUGCCUGACCCAGGCUCCUCAGACAUUUGUCACAGGAUUGGGUUGAGCCACUGGCCUUUGGAGCCACCUGAGGUCCCCCGGGGAGCAGUGUGGACCGUGGUGCAGGUAAGACCCCUGCGUGCAAUUCCCCUGCUCCCGGGAAGGCGGGUGUGUGUGGCCGAGGGGACACUGGUCUUGGCUUUGGGGAACUUUCCAGGCAGCCACGGGGGUUGCCCCUCAGGACAAUGCGCGUUGUCGCCU